rnacentral:ncRNA from 2 species
UAAAACCUUCAGGGCGGAGUGCAAUUCUCCACCGGCGGUAGUCAGCGCAAGCUGAGAGCCCGCGAGCCAUUGCUGAUUCACAUCAGCAAAAGCAGAUCUGGUCAAAUUCCAGAGCCGACGGUAUAGUCCGGAUGAAAGAAGGUGUUG